UGUGCAGUUCCUGAAAAAGGAAAAAUGUGAGAACAAUCCCCCGCACAAGCCUACUUAUACGUCAUACUCUGCAGAAUAGUUGCAGGCAGGUAUACGCUUGUUUCUAAACCAUUUACACAAUACUCGUUUCUGCCACACAGGGGCCUCUAGUGCAAUAUAUAUAUCCAGCGCUUCGGCAUUUCAGGUCCUCCACCGUGAACGCUGCCUCGUGUACUGGAGAGAACAAUGAGGAUCCUUUUUCUAGUAUUCCUUCCAGCGAUUUCUCUGGGAGUGGCCUUGGCUGUUACCGGUGACGCCGGACCCGGACACCCUAUCUCGUCCACUGGUAACCGGAAUCAUCCUCCCUGCCCACUGCACGAACACUGGGUUGACGGCGGGAACAGCUGCACAGAGAAGAUGUGCACCGAGAGCAUUAGCAACAAUGGACUCCUCUGCACCCGGGAUAAGACAUCCGGUUGUUACUGUGAUGAUGGAUAUCUGCGACUAAGGGACGGUUCCCCAUGUGUCCUUCCGAACGAGUGCCACCAGAAGUGAAAGUUGCGCUGAAAGCUGCACUUCAGGUGCCGCGUAAAAUAAAGCAAGCGUGAUCUCACGGU
rnacentral:lncRNA from 1 species